rnacentral:rRNA from 1 species
CCUACGGGUGGCAGCAGUGGGGAAUAUUGCACAAUGGUGGAGACCCUGAUGCAGCGACGCAGCGUGCGCGAUGAAGUAUUUCGGUAUUUAAAGCUCUAUCAGCAGGGAAGAAAAUGACGGUACCUGACUUAGAAGCUCCGGCUAACUACGUGCCAGCAGCCGCGGUAAUACGUAGGGUGCAAGCGUUAUCCGGAUUGACUGGGUGUAAAGGGAGCGUAGACGGCUUGGCAAGCCAGAUGUGAAAGUCUGGGGCUCAACCACAGGACUGCAUCUGGAACUGUCAUGCUAGAGUGUCGGAGAGGCAGGCGGAAUUCGUAGUGUAGCGGUGAAAUGCGUAGAUAGUAGGAGGAACACCAGUGGCGAAGGCGGCAUGCUGGAGGAUGACUGACGUUGAGGCUCGAAAGCGUGGGGAGCGAACAGGAUUAGAUACCCGAGUAGUC